AACCUCCGCAAUGUGAGAAAUCGCGACGGGGGGAUCCCAAGUGCCAUUCUUAACGGGAUGGCUUUUCUUAAGUGUAAAAAGCUUUUGGAAUAAGAGCUGGGCAAGACCGGUGCCAGCCGCCGCGGUAACACCGGCAGCUCUAGUGGUAGCUGUUUUUAUUGGGCCUAAAGCGUUCGUAGCCGGUUUGAUAAGUCACUGGUGAAAUCCUGUAGCUUAACUGUGGGAAUUGCUGGUGAUACUGUUGAACUUGAGGUCGGGAGAGGUUAGCGGUACUCCCAGGGUAGAGGUGAAAUUCUGUAAUCCUGGGAGGACCGCCUGUUGCGAAGGCGUCUAACUGGAACGGUUCUGACGGUGAGGGACGAAAGUUAGGGGCGCGAACCGGAUUAGAUACCCGGGUAGUCCUAACCGUAAACGAUGCGGACUUGGUGUUGGGGUGGCUUUGAGCUGCUCCAGUGCCGAAGGGAAGCUGUUAAGUCCGCCGCCUGGGAAGUACGGUCGCAAGACUGAAACUUAAAGGAAGU
rnacentral:rRNA from 1 species